GCAAGACGGAGCAAAAGAGCCAGAGGAGUGCAGGAAGAGACAGUGGAAGCGUGGGUCGGCCCCUGAGACAUGUACUGAGUGGAUGUGGAAUGACAGCACAAGCCCAAUUAGUCUUGGAUGCCAGGGCUGCUACAGGGAGGUCGGUGCAAGUGAUCAAGCCAUUCAUGCAUUCAAGCACUCGCCUGCAGGCAUUAUCCGCCAACAGCCUGGCUCGAGUAUUACCUCAUCCCACUCAGAGGCAAAGGAAGGCAUGCGCUCCAUGGAUGGUUGCCCAGAGCUGCAGUUAGAGACAGAGCCACUGCGGCCAGCCAGACUUCCAUCGUCCUCGCUGACGGGUGAUGCCAACAAGUCAGAGUCCGACUUGGACAAACUUCGAGUCAGCACCAGGUCCGCAGACUCUUCAAGAAGACAAGCUCGGUCCCGUAGUGAGGAUCAGAAGACGAGAGGAUCCCAAAGCCUGGCCUUAUUCAGAGUGACAGGUGGGGUAAUCAGGUUACUGAUGCACGUGGUGGCUGCUCCGUUUAAAAGCAGGGAGCGAUAGGAUUCCUCCUUUGUUGUCUAUGUUUGUGUGAGACUGAGAUUACUGAGCUUAGUUUUGUUAUAGUGGGUACAGUACAUGUGUAUAUUCAGAUCAUUGUCCAACCAGCAUAGAGUGCAUAUCAACUUAUACACAUCUAGUUUUUAUUUAAACUUGUAGUUUAAAGUUGCCCACAGUAAAAUAAUUUUUUUCUAAAUUAGCCUGUAAUUUUGAUCUAUAAUAAACUUUGAUGUACAUAAUUUACAUGCACAAGUUACUGCACAAUCUUGUCCCAUU
rnacentral:lncRNA from 1 species